UCGGGAAUAUUGGACAAUGGGCGCAAGCCUGAUCCAGCCAUGCCGCGUGAGUGAAGAAGGCCCUCGGGUUGUAAAGCUCUUUUGUCCGGAAAGAAAAGCAUCGGGUUAAUACCCCGGUGUUCUGACGGUACCGGAAGAAUAAGCACCGGCUAACUUCGUGCCAGCAGCCGCGGUAAUACGAAGGGUGCAAGCGUUACUCGGAAUUACUGGGCGUAAAGCGUGCGUAGGUGGUUCGUUAAGUCUGAUGUGAAAGCCCUGGGCUCAACCUGGGAAUGGCAUUGGAAACUGGCGGACUGGAGUGCGGUAGAGGGUAGCGGAAUUCCCGGUGUAGCAGUGAAAUGCGUAGAGAUCGGGAGGAACAUCCGUGGCGAAGGCGGCUACCUGGACCAGCACUGACACUGAGGCACGAAAGCGUGGGGAGCAAACA
rnacentral:rRNA from 1 species